CAAGUCCAGCAAAGGUCAUCCCAGGCGUGAAGACCCAGGCACUGGCACAGAGCUGGAACAAGGACUGAUGGGAUACCGAUGGGAAACCCAGGCACCUUCAACUCAAGUCCUUCAACACGCAGGAGAGACUGCAUCUUGGCCUCAUGGCUGAGAACAAGCGAAAAUUACAGGAGACACAAUCCUAACAAGUAGCAGCGUUCAAAAGUCGUGCUCUUGGCCACAUCUGCUCAUUCAGCAACCCUGUUGGCAGCUACAUCGAAACAGCUUUGGGCUCCAACUCUCGUCACCUGUGGCACAACCGUGACAGCCUCCUCGCCAGUCACCUGACAGCUGCCCUGGUGAUGACAUUGACGGGGGAGCCAGACCACAUCAUGACUCGGCUAACACUCCUCUAAGGACAUCCCUUCAGUCCUGGACGCCGAGUUCACACUGCCAACUGCCGAGUCCUGUGCCCUUGACCCCUCACUACCUCGAGUGAUACUGCCCCUCCAUUCAGUCUAUUCAGAGCUCUCUACAGUGGCUGUUCUUUGAGCGGAAGUGUUCAUUCUCCAAAUGCUCUUCUUCCCUUCUUCUCUUACAACUCCAAACCCUGUCAUCCUGAACCCCAACCCUUAAUGCCCCCUUCCCUACUUGCCCUUUAUUUUUACCACCAAUAAAAUGCUUCCCUCCCUCUGUUAUUCCACGCUCCCUUCCUCCCCACUUUCAUUCUUUCUUAUGUAUGGACAUAGGCUACAUAUAUGUAAGGCAGGCACGUGACCUCUUGGGCUGGGGAAAUGGCUCAGCCACUUAAAGCUCUUGCCUGAGUCUGAAACCCAGAACCAUGGUGGAAGAAGAGAAUCAAGUCCCCCAAACUGUCCCAUGAUCUUCAAAUGCACACUAUGGCACACACAGAGAGAGAAUAAAAAAUAAAUUUUAAAUAUUUUUUUGGGAAUAAACUCAGUAUUCACCAAACAUGUUUUGAAUCUGAACCUGUCUCUUAA